rnacentral:rRNA from 1 species
AGAGUUUGAUCAUGGCUCAGAACGAACGCUGGCGGCAGGCUUAACACAUGCAAGUCGAACGCACCGCAAGGUGAGUGGCAGACGGGUGAGUAACGCGUGGGAACGUGCCCUUCAGUUCGGGAUAACCCAGGGAAACUUGGGCUAAUACCGGAUACGUGCGAGAGCAGAAAGAUUUAUCGCUGAAGGAUCGGCCCGCGUCUGAUUAGCUAGUUGGUGGGGUAAUGGCCCACCAAGGCGACGAUCAGUAGCUGGUCUGAGAGGAUGAUCAGCCACAUUGGGACUGAGACACGGCCCAAACUCCUACGGGAGGCAGCAGUGGGGAAUAUUGGACAAUGGGCGCAAGCCUGAUCCAGCCAUGCCGCGUGAGUGAUGAAGGCCUUAGGGUUGUAAAGCUCUUUCGUCCGGGACGAUAAUGACGGUACCGGAAGAAGAAGCCCCGGCUAACUUCGUGCCAGCAGCCGCGGUAAUACGAAGGGGGCUAGCGUUGUUCGGAAUCACUGGGCGUAAAGGGCGCGUAGGCGGCCUGAUAAGUCGGGGGUGAAAGCCUGUGGCUCAACCACAGAAUUGCCUUCGAUACUGUCGGGCUUGAGACCGGAAGAGGUAAGUGGAACUGCGAGUGUAGAGGUGAAAUUCGUAGAUAUUCGCAAGAACACCAGUGGCGAAGGCGGCUUACUGGUCCGGUUCUGACGCUGAGGCGCGAAAGCGUGGGGAGCAAACAGGAUUAGAUACCCUAGUAGUCC